rnacentral:miRNA from 1 species
CGGCGUUCAGCUGUGGCUCGUG